rnacentral:rRNA from 1 species
CAUACUCUACGUGAAUCAUCGAAUCUUUGAACGCAAGUGGCGCUCUCACGCUCGCGUGGGAGCAUGCCUCUUUCAGCAUCGGUUAUUCUAAACUCAUCUGCUUGCAGGUGGAGAAUGAGUUGUCGCUCUGUGUCUUUUCAUUAAGAGAGAGGGCGUCACUUCAAGUAAGGCGAGCUCAGUCGCAAGUUUCACUGAGAAAGUGACGUUGGUAGGUAAUGAAAGGGCCGUCAAACGCCUUCUCGUUUACUUCACGCCGCGUCUGCUUUCGAUUGCAGGUGAAGCUGCCCUAGUAGUAGUAACAUAUUAUUAGGACGACUAGCGUAAGAACAGUCUUUGUUUGUUAGUUAUAUACCAAACAGAGUAGCUGUUCAGCUUUAACGACUUGAUCUGAAAUGAGGUAAGAGGACCCGCCGAAUUUAAGCAUAUCAAUAAGCGGAGG